UGGGGAAUAUUGCGCAAUGGGCGAAAGCCUGACGCAGCGACGCCGCGUGAGGGAUGAAGGCCUUCGGGUCGUAAACCUCUUUCAGCAGGGAAGAAGCGAAAGUGACGGUACCUGCAGAAGAAGCACCGGCUAACUACGUGCCAGCAGCCGCGGUAAUACGUAGGGUGCAAGCGUUGUCCGGAAUUAUUGGGCGUAAAGAGCUCGUAGGCGGUUUGUCGCGUCUGGGUGUGAAAACUCAAGGCUUAACCUUGAGCUUGCAUCGGGUACGGGCAGACUAGAGUGUGCUAGGGGAGACUGGAAUUCCUGGUGUAGCGGUGAAAUGCGCAGAUAUCAGGAGGAACACCGGUGGCGAAGGCGGGUCUCUGGGGCAUAACUGACGCUGAGGAGCGAAAGCAUGGGGAGCGAACAGGAUUAGAUACCCUGGUAGUCCAUGCCGUAAACGUUGGGCGCUAGGUGUGGGGCUCAUUCCACGAGUUCCGUGCCGCAGCAAACGCAUUAAGUGCCCC
rnacentral:rRNA from 1 species